AGAGUUUGAUCCUGGCUCAGGAUGAACGCUGGCGGCGUGCCUAACACAUGCAAGUCGAGCGAUUUACUUCGGUAAUGAGCGGCGGACGGGUGAGUAACGCGUGGGUAACCUGCCCUGUACACACGGAUAACAUACCGAAAGGUAUGCUAAUACGAGAUAAAAUACUUUUAUCGCAUGGUAGAAGUAUCAAAGCUUUUGCGGUACAGGAUGGACCCGCGUCUGAUUAGCUAGUUGGUAAGGUAACGGCUUACCAAGGCGGCGAUCAGUAGCCGACCUGAGAGGGUGAUCGGCCACAUUGGAACUGAGACACGGUCCAAACUCCUACGGGAGGCAGCAGUGGGGAAUAUUGCACAAUGGGCGAAAGCCUGAUGCAGCAACGCCGCGUGAGCGAUGAAGGCCUUCGGGUCGUAAAGCUCUGUCCUCAAGGAAGAUAAUGACGGUACUUGAGGAGGAAGCCCCGGCUAACUACGUGCCAGCAGCCGCGGUAAUACGUAGGGGGCUAGCGUUAUCCGGAAUUACUGGGCGUAAAGGGUGCGUAGGUGGUUUCUUAAGUCAGAGGUGAAAGGCUACGGCUCAACCGUAGUAAGCCUUUGAAACUGGGGAACUUGAGUGCAGGAGAGGAGAGUGGAAUUCCUAGUGUAGCGGUGAAAUGCGUAGAUAUUAGGAGGAACACCAGUUGCGAAGGCGGCUCUCUGGACUGUAACUGACACUGAGGCACGAAAGCGUGGGGAGCAAACAGGAUUAGAUACCCUGGUAGUCCACGCCGUAAACGAUGAGUACUAGCUGUCGGAGGUUACCCCCUUCGGUGGCGCAGCUAACGCAUUAAGUACUCCGCCUGGGAAGUACGCUCGCAAGAGUGAAACUCAAAGGAAUCGACGGGGACCCGCACAAGCGGUGGAGUAUGUGGUUUAAUUCGAAGCAACGCGAAGAACCUUACCAGGCCUUGACAUGGGAUGCGAAGACGCAGAGAUGCGUUGGAGGUCAACAUCCACACAGGUGGUGCAUGGUUGUCGUCAGCUCGUGUCGUGAGAUGUUGGGUCAAGUCCCGCAACGAGCGCAACCCUUGUGGCAUGUUGCUAACAGGAAAGCUGAGGACUCAUGCCAGACUGCCGGUGACAAACCGGAGGAAGGCGGGGAUGACGUCAAAUCAUCAUGCCCCUUAUGGCCUGGGCUACACACGUACUACAAUGGCGGCUACAAAGAGCGGCGAGACAGUAAUGUCGAGCGAAUCUCAUAAAAGCCGUCCCAGUUCGGAUUGGAGCCUGCAACCCGGCUCCAUGAAGUUGGAAUCGCUAGUAAUCGCGGAUCAGCAUGCCGCGGUGAAUACGUUCCCGGGCCUUGUACACACCGCCCGUCAA
rnacentral:rRNA from 1 species